UAAUGACACACCGGAGAAGCUCUUCCCCUUGAGAGCUGCGAUUUAACCUGAAUGUUUGUUCAUUGAGAUUGAAAGAUUGGAGUGUGUGGUGUGAGUGCAGGCUCGAGGCCACCGGUAAUAAGGCGGUGAAAAAGGACCUAAAAGCUAUAUAUUUGGGAGAAGAAUAUGUCUUUGUGAGAAGAAGAAGAAGAAGAAGAAGAAGAAGAAAAUGCACAGCGAGGAAAACGUGCACCAUUAAUUUGGGCUCAUUUAAAGGGUUUUCAUAGAGCCGAGAUUGUUGUGAAGUUGCCGUGUUAAUGAGAUAGAUCUUUCAUGUGGAAUGAUGGCACAAUUAGGAGAACAAAAGUGCAAGGUGUGACAAUUUAAGCGAAUGUGCUUUGUCAGUGUCUGAGAACAGCACCUCCGAGACAACAUAUGCAUGAAAAUGCGCUUAUGAAACGACCGCGCCGGGUUCUUGAUGUCUAGAUUUCGGCGCUCGCACACAUUUGCCUUGUUACCGUGUUCCCCAGUGCCCCGAAAUCCCAACAGGAAUGCGAGUUUCUAGGCCAGGAAAUGGAAUUGAAGUUGGCUGAACAAGUUGCCCUUAAAAAAAUAAAAUUACACACCUUCGCUAAUAUGUUAAUGACUGUUGUCUUGGGUCACGUUUUGAACAAGUGCUGAGCGUCGUCAAAUUUGAAAAUGUCCCCCACACCAACCCCCUGCUUUCUCUGGGACCUCACAUCUAAUUUAGGAAGGAUAUGAAAAAAUAUACAUAAAUAUAUACACAGCUUCCUUUGCUCAAUUGCUGUAAAGUCCCUGAAGACGCCUCAUGAUUAUGUUUCUGUGUUCAGUUAAUACCACGGUUAAAAUGGUAAAAUUGCUGUUAAUUGAUAGAAAUCCAUGUGUGCUAUUGUUUCACUUCCUGUUCCACUUCCAGUUCCCAUCCACAUCAUGUCACUGGUGUCAUUCCUCACAUUUAGGGGCAUAUUGAGACCAACUUAAGUUUUAAAACUACAUAAAUAUGUACAUGGGGGACGUUCCUGGUAUUCGGAGUCGGGUUACGCAGGUGUUUAAGUGGAUUUUCUGAGCUCCACAUUCAGAUUAUUAGAAUCACCUGCGUGUAGUUCACACCUCUGAGGUUGCCAGAUAUUUCUUGCAUAGAUGCGUCUGAGACAGUGUUUUUCACUGGCGUCUAGACCACUGCCUUUAAACACAAACACUCACCUUUAAACCUGAAAAAAAAAGGGAUAGAAAAGACAGACUGAAGAAGGAAAUAGUGUUAUUUUUGCUGUCAAAGGUGAUAUGAUGUAACAUAAAAGCGAGAAUGAAGAUAAAAAGACUAAUCCAAUGAUGAGCAUUGAAUAAAUUGAAAACAAUGCCUCAAAAAAAGAAAUAAAUCUAAUAGGAGUCUCGAAUAUCGCCAAUAUAUUCCUGCAUGAAUAGUCCUAGUUGGAAUUCUUUCAUUGAUCACUGGUUUAAUUGAACAAAAUGGCUUUCACACUCAUUAUUCAGCAGAAUAGAAUAGAAUUGAGAAUAGAAUAGCACUUGAUCCAGCACUUGAUCAUCUGCUAUGCUUACAGAGAAACUUUAACUUCCUUGAUCUUUCUGUCCAUUAAUAAUGAACUUAUCAGACAACCCAGUGUCUCUGAUUAAGAUACUGUCUUUUCAUGGACUUUAAAAUGAGAAUAUUAUUAAUUAAUGAAUUAUGUUGUAUUUAUGUAUUGAAUUUUGUCCUUGUGUGUGUGUGUGUGUGUGUGUGUGUGUUUGUGUGUGCGUGUAUUUACAAUCAAAACUUAAAUUGUGAAAUACAGUGUUAUAAUUUCAUCAAACAGUCAGACGGUGGCGCUGGACUUAACUCCGCUCCUCACUUGAGCUGAUAUCACGCAAGAAACACGUGUUAGUGUAGUCUGUUUUUUUUUUUUUUUUUUACUUCAUGUUUCCGGAAUUUGCUCUUCCUGACCUUUGACCUCAAUUAUUGGAAAAUUGGUAACUCCAACAUAAACACACUGACCUGCAACUAAAUGUUAGAUACUGAAAAUACUAAUGGCGGUACUGAAAUACUCCGAAUAAAGAACAAACUGGAAUGCCACGAUGACUGAUUGCUGAUUAGACUUAUGAAACUCGGCUGGCUUUAUAUAACAACUUUAUUAUUUCCCUCUAAUUAUUUUAUUUUCGUCUCCUUAUGAGCGCCCCACUUUUUCCCUCAAAUCACCUCCUGUUUAAAGAUGCUGAUUAAAAUUAAAAUGCAUGUGAUACCUUA